CUGCCUCCCUUGAGCAAUCAGUGGGAUGCCCAACGUACUCACAGGUGCUAAUCGCAUAAACAACUGCUGAUCCGCUUAGAGCCGAGAGAUGAGCAGCGGGACAGAGACAGGGCUGUCCUCGCCCAUGGCAGGGUGGCACAUCUCCAGCAUGUCCAGCUCCCUGAACCGCUCCAGAACCCGCAUCUUGCACUCCUCAGCUGCCAUGACACCAGUGGAGAAGGCGCCGUGCACUGUGCCUGUGUACUUGACACUUGUAGCCUCCCCUGCGAAGAACAGGUUGUCCACAGGGAUGCGCAACUUCUCGUACAGGUCGCGGGGUUUAUUCACCCCAUCAAACGUGUAGGAACCAAGCGUGUUCUCAUCCGAGCCCCAGUGUGACACCAGGUAAUUUAUCUGCAAUAAAUU
rnacentral:lncRNA from 1 species